GCGGGAGUAACUCAGUUGGCAGAGUGUCUGCUUCCCAAGCAGAAUGUCGAGGGUUCGAAUCCCUUCUCCCGCUCCA
rnacentral:tRNA from 2 species